CCAGAGUGGAGCUCAGCUGCAGAGGAAUGCUUCACUGAAAGAAAUCUUCCCUUGAUGCUGUAGGACAGACAGGUCUAUCCCACCCAUGGUGACUCAGUCAUUGUUGUUCAUGGCCGCUGCCCGUUCUUCACGAUCAAGGAGGAGAAUGCUUUGGAGGAAACAGAGCUUUCAUACGUGAAUCGACUGGGAAGCGAGUCAAAAGUACUGCAAAGGACUGGGAACGCCUACUCCUUCACACCUAAUUAUGUUUGCUGGAUUGGGUUAUAGUUCUUCAGUGUGU
rnacentral:lncRNA from 1 species